CAGGAGGGGUGAAGAGGAGGGAUUGGUUAAAGAGAGAGCUUCCCCGGAAUUCUAUGGUUGCUAUAGUAACAGCUUCUUUUGUUUAUACAUAUUCAGAACAGCUGCUUCCUUUGGGUUUCUGGUGGCAGGGAUAUUAUAAAGGUAACUGACAGGGGAAGAAGCGCCACUCUGACCACGGAAUGGUUAACAUAGUACUAUGUAAAAAGGAUAUAGAAUGACCAGUGAGGAUUAAAAGGGCAAAGAGAGGAAAACAAUCCUCUGGAGGAAUUCUUGGGCAAAUGGAAACAAUUAAAUGUGGCAGGAGAGAAUGAAGAAGAUAAAAUUUGGAUUGAAGGUGGAAAAAAUGAAAGCAGUGGAAGGGAAGAGAUCACUGAGAAUCCAAACAGGGCCAAGGAUAACUGGUACACGCUAACCUUCAAUUCAAAGAAAGCUAAGAUGAUCACACAAAGAAAUUAAAGCCAAAUUUGCACUCUUCUGCUCUGCCAGAAGUCUUCCUCACCAGCUGCAUCCCUCUCUUUCUGUAUAUACAAUAGUACCUCUGAACAGUAGUGAACAUGAAUUGUCUUCGUGGCACAGCUAAGCCUGAAUGAUGUUAACGUUUCACAGAGACACAACUACAAACAUUCUCCAAAACUACCUGCAACAGCUCAUUACCCAAAACUACCUGCAAGGACUCAUAAAGCAAAAUAAGUCAGACUCACCAACUUAAAUGGAUUAAUAUUGUUUCAUUUCCAAUGUCCCUGUCGAUGCUCUGUGAGAUUUUGCUAUUCCUUAUUGUUGACUGGUAUACCAUCGAUGGUUCUACCACAAUUUAUUUAACCAAAUGCCUGUAGAUGAACACUUGGGUUGUUUGCAGCUUUGAGCUAUUAUAAAUGAAGCUACUAUAAACAUUUUACACAAACCACUUUGCGGACAUAUACCUUCAUUUGUCUUGGAUGAAGACCUACUAAGAAGAGGAAUUGCUGGAUCAUAAGUCUAUGUUUCUUGGAUUCUUUAACAUAAGUUAGCACAUAUGACUUCUGCUGGAAUGAAAAUGAUAUGCCUGGAAUUUCUUUUGUUUGCCUCUUCCAGGUAAACCAACAUGCAGCUAAAGUAGUUAAGAGGGAGUUAAAUCACUGUAAGAGAGAGUGGAGAUAUGAAGUCCUUGUUGAGGUGGUGAAAUCCUGUAUCAGGAUGUGACUGAUGAAGUGUCUGCUGAUACCAAACAGGCCUUGCGAUCUCAACUUACAACUCUGGGUUUGGGGAAAAGAAUGAAAUGUGUUGGGAAGCCAAUGUAAGUCUGAGGCUGUUCCUGGUAUUUACAGAAAGACUACAGAAAAAGACAUCAGAAUAAUGGCAAGGAUUUAUUUAACACCCUCAUUACUAAGUGGCCCUGAGAGCAAGCUUCACUGUCAAUUAAGAAUUUUCAAGAAAACAUCAAGAAAUAAAACGUUAUACUAGAUAUAAAAUGCCAAAACUGUGUAACUUGUGUGGUCAAUACAGUAUGUCAAACACAGCAAUAAAUUCAAGACAGAAAAGAACAGGAGAGAAUUUGGGGUUUGGCUCUUACGGAGAGAUUGUUGGAGAGCCAUUUCGAUGCGGUGCUGAGUGAGUGCCACUUGGGUAGUAACUGAUACUAAUUUUUGGUUAAUAGCUUCUAAAAUUUUAUCAAAUAUUUCUAGCUAUCUGUUGAGUUGUAGGCUAUAAAGAUGAUUUAUACCUUAGCUUAUAAGCAAGGAAAUCUAGUUACUGAUGAAAUUCAGGUGAAAAUUCUUCUUAACAUUUUAGAAAGUAAGAAAAAUCGAAGUGUCACAUAGUCUCCAUAGCUCACGUUUCUCAUGCGUCCUGAUCUCAAUUUGUUUCUUGUUUCCCCAGCGUCAUGGUACCAUUUCUUAUCCUCUCUUCAUUCUUUGUGUGAAUGCUAAUUGAGCAUGUACUUCAUACCAUGCACUCUUCCAUAUAUUCCGGACAUGGAAAUUAGUGAGAUUCAAUAUUUUCUCCUAAUGAACUUUAAACAACAGAUGGUUAACUGCAGUAAUAUAUAAUGACAUACAGCACAUUCCAGGUGCUACAUUGGAGUUUAGAGCCAAGUGUUGUGAAGACACAGAGAAAUGUUAAGUAGUCUGGAGCAGGCAAUGGGAUCAUCAGAAAAGACUUCACAGAGAAGUCUUUUGAUCGGUCUUUGGAAGGCAGAUAAUGGUUUCUUUAGAGUGAGAAGCUGAGGGAAAGGCAAUCUAUUCAUUGAGGUUUUGAACUGUUUACUACAGAUGAAAGAAAACUUGUGAAGGGUGAGCAAAGCCUCAGUGACAUAAAAGUGCAUGGCUUAUUCGAGAAACUCUGAGCAGUCAAAUAUUAUUGAAACAUAAGAUUUGUAACAGAAAUGGACUUGGCAAGAUAUUCACCUAAUAAAUAUUUAUUAAGUACAUAUUAUGGGCAAGAGACCAAGCUAGAAAUAACGCUAUGUAUUUUAUUGUAUACAACACAUCCAAUUACCCUAACAAAGUGGAUGUUAUUCUCCAAGUAGGUAUCAGGAAAUAAAUGAGGUGCAAGUAAGGGAAACUUGGUCAGACCUGUGAAUCCAGCUGGUUCCUCUAAACAUACCCUACUUAAAAACCCAAGUGAAUUCAAUUCUGAAAGGGACAAAGCAUCCUUUUAAAAAGUCUAUAACUUUAUCCUGAGAGUCUUAAUGAGUUAAGAUAGGUGUUUUAAGUCAAGGUAUAUCAUAAGAGCAUUUAGCAGCAAAUAUGGCAAAGUGGUUAAGGGAUCAGGCAUCACCACUAUAAGCUGUGUGUGAUUUGGCAAGUUAAUGUCGCAGGGUCACAGUGUUUUUUCUUAUAAAAUGGGGAUGAUGAGAGUACAUAUUUUAUGAGAUUGUUGUACUCAUCAUUUAAAAUAUGAAAUUUAUUUAGAGUGAUGCUUGGCUUCAAUAAGUCAUCAGCGUAUGGGAUUCUUGUUUCAGAAACAGCUCUCUCAUGGCACUGUGAGGAAAAGAUAGCAGAGGCAGGAAAACUUCAAUCCUCAAUAUUCCAGAAGAAGAACAAAGAGGGCUUCGACUAUAGCAUUUGGCAGUUAUGGAAAAGUAAAGGUUUACUGGACCAAUUCUUCACGUUCUUACAUAUCACCUUAAUGUUACAUGAAAAGGAGCAAAAGAUACAAGGGGUGUUGACUAUCAAAUAAAGCUGAAGAGCCAAGAAACAUUUAUAACUGCAGUAGUUUUACUUGAAGAUACACAGUUUUCUAUAAGAUGUUGCUUUGUGAAAUAUUUUCAGGUUCAAGCAAAUAAAAUUCUGUAUGUGUCUCCUUGGA